rnacentral:lncRNA from 1 species
UGAAUUUGGUAAAUUAUGGAAACUGCAUGUGGUUCAUGUUUAUGGUAAAUAUAUUUGAUUAGAACAUGUAGAAUUGAAUGAGUUUCAUAUGGCUUCUGUCAGAAUAAAUGGUUAAAUGCCAAUUCUUCAUUUGGUACAGGUAGGAAUGAAUAUGGAACUCUUAAACAUUAAACAUAGAAUAUCAUUAUGGGCCCUUUCUUCAUUUUCUCGUCAAUAUAAAAGGUUCAUUCUUCCGUCAGACCUUCUGUUAUGGUCAAAGGUAGCAUAUACAUGUAUAUGUAUAUGUGUAGUCUAUCCAUACAUUGUACACAUGAAGACAACCGAGAAUCCAUCAAAGUAAGAUCUCAAUUCAGCUAAACAUCUAGUCACAUAAUCAUGAUUUCAAAUGUAAAUCCCACUGUAUCUUUUAAACCCUCUUGCUGCAGGAGGGACACAUAUGUCAACAC